UACGUAGGGUGCAAGCGUUAAUCGGAAUUACUGGGCGUAAAGCGUGCGCAGGCGGUGAUGUAAGACAGGUGUGAAAUCCCCGGGCUUAACCUGGGAACUGCAUUUGUGACUGCAUCGCUGGAGUGCGGCAGAGGGGGAUGGAAUUCCGCGUGUAGCAGUGAAAUGCGUAGAUAUGCGGAGGAACACCGAUGGCGAAGGCAAUCCCCUGGGCCUGCACUGACGCUCAUGCACGAAAGCGUGGGGAGCAAGACGG
rnacentral:rRNA from 1 species